rnacentral:RNase_P_RNA from 2 species
GGGACGAACCGGGCCGCCGCUGUCAGGACCGUAAGGUUACUGGCAGAGGAAAGUCCGGGCUCGACAGAGCGCGACGCCGGUUAAUGGCCGGGAGUACAGCUGGUGACGGUUGUACGACAGAUAGCGCAACAGAAAAUGAACCGCCGGCACCGAAAGGCGCUUGGUAAGGGUGAAAAGGUGGGGUAAGAGCCCACCGCGUUCACGGCAACGUGAACGGCACGGCAAGCCUCGUCACGAGCAAGGCCGAACAGCGGAAGCGCGGCUCGCGCUUCGAUGGAGCCGAAAGGCGACAACGAUAAUCCGCGGGUAGGUCGCGUAAACGGAAGAGUGAUCUUUCGUAUAGAUGGAUGGCGGCCACCGCGAAAGCGGUACAGAACCCGGCUUAUAGGUUCGUCCCUUUU